ACCUCUCACCUCUGACGGUUUUGUAAUAGAACCGCUCAGAUGCGUGGAUAUGGGCGCCUGCCUGGUGAACAACCUUAUGGCUCGCCUGAAAUGUAUUAGCUGGGAUCUGCAUGUCAGACCGGAGGCGUAAUAAGUUAUUCGUCUCUGGGACUUGGUCUGGUCGGCUUCCAAUACCCAUCUAAUCUCUUG
rnacentral:misc_RNA from 1 species